GCAUCAAUGGGGUAGUGGUAACCUGGGUCGUUGCCAGCACACAUCGACCCGCCGGGGGUUCAAUUCCCCCUUGAUGCA